rnacentral:rRNA from 1 species
AUUGAACGCUGGCGGCAGGCUUAACACAUGCAAGUCGAGCGGGGUGAUGGUGCUUGCACUAUCACUUAGCGGCGGACGGGUGAGUAAUGCUUAGGAAUCUGCCUAUUAGUGGGGGACAACAUCUCGAAAGGGAUGCUAAUACCGCAUACGUCCUACGGGAGAAAGCAGGGGAUCACUUGUGACCUUGCGCUAAUAGAUGAGCCUAAGUCGGAUUAGCUAGUUGGUGGGGUAAAGGCCUACCAAGGCGACGAUCUGUAGCGGGUCUGAGAGGAUGAUCCGCCACACUGGGACUGAGACACGGACCAGACUCCUACGGGAGGCAGCAGUGGGGAAUAUUGGACAAUGGGGGGAACCCUGAUCCAGCCAUGCCGCGUGUGUGAAGAAGGCCUUAUGGUUGUAAAGCACUUUAAGCGAGGAGGAGGCUCUUUUGGUUAAUACCCAAGAUGAGUGGACGUUACUCGCAGAAUAAGCACCGGCUAACUCUGUGCCAGCCGCCGAGUAA